rnacentral:lncRNA from 1 species
GACACCACGGAGUCUUCUUAUGAAAGAAACACGUCUCCCAAGGCUUUGGCUGCCAUAGGUAGUGAUUCCCGUGGUGACCUGGGCAAAGUCGUCUGAAAAUAUCUGGGAGAGGAUCGCCCCUCUAGCUGCCGUCAGAGCAGGUGUGACUCAUGGAAGAGGUUAAAAUAUCCACUUUAGUGGGAGUUUGGAAGAAACAGAUCCAGAUCGUCCUGGAUGACUUUGAAGGGUUCAAGACGUCAGUGGAGGAAGCAGCUGCAGAUGUGGAGCAAAUAGCAAGAGAACCAGAAAUAGAAGCCUGCAAACGUGACUGAACUGCUGCCAUCUCGUGAUAAAGCCUUAGCAGAUGAGGAGCUGCCUUUUAUGAAUGAGCAAAGGAAGUGGUUUCUUGAGAUGGAAUCAGCUCUGGUGAAGAUGCUGUGAAGAUGGUUGAAAUGACAACAACGGACUUAGACUACUCCAUAAACUGAGCUAAGCAGCGUGGGGCUUGAGAGGCUGAGUCCGACUUUGAAAGAAGUUCUAAUGUGGGGAAAAUGCAAUCAGCAUUGCAUGCUACAGAGAAAUCGUGCAUGACAGGAAGAGUUAAUCGAUUUGGUAGCCUUCGUCGUGGUCUUAUUUUAAGAAAUUGCCACAGCCAGCCCAGCCUUCAGCAGCCCCCACCCUGAUCCAUCAGCAGCAUCAAUGUGCAGGCAGGACCCUCCACCAGCAAAAAGACUGUGACUCACUAAAGCCUCAGAUGAUUGUUCAACCUCUUUAGCAAGAAAAUAUUUUUUAAAAUUAAGUUCUUUAAGGACACCGUCAAAGAUGGUGACCGACGCAGACCCUUGUAAAACGUCACAAGACUGGCAUACUUGUAGGUGAUAAGGACGGAGAAAUAAAACAUAGGAUCUCAGCCCGGCCUUACAGGUAGUUGCCAAAUUCAUGUGUUCGGGGCCAGCCACACCACCCUGUCCCCAGCAGCGUCCCCUUCUCUCUUUCUUGCUGCUCGCUUCUUCUCACUUCAUUUUUAUGUGAUGAGGGCAGGGACCGUGUGCACUUGCCUGUUGUCACGAAUGCCUCAGUCCAGCAUUUCUCACACUCGGAUGUGCACCUGCUGUUCAAGUGCAGAUUCUGAUGUAAGAGCCCAGGGCUGUGGGGUGGCUUGAGAACCCGUACUUCUAACAGGCUCUCAGGUGACCCAGAGCUGAAUCGCCCACCCGUUGGGUACUCACUGGGCUAGAGGCUAGAGCAGUUGUACGUAGUCGUAUGUUUGAUUCCCCAGGCGGGGGCGGGGGAUAAAAUCCUAAUGCCAGAUUGUUCCCCGGGCCAGUAACACCCGAAUUCUUGAGGAUGGACGAGGCAGCGGCUGCUGGUUAGCAGGAGCAGUCAGCUCUCCCGGAAGAGCAGCCCGAUUUAGCAUUUAUGCCUCCUUUUCUUUCCAGCACAGGAUGCUAGUGAACUUGGUGUUGGGAAGAAGUGCUAACUAAUGUUGGGCUCGUCAGCCAGCGCCCCCCUGGACCCGGGCCUUUGCAUUUUCAUCCCCUCCCAGCGGAUGAGCUGUCACUGUGAUUCCCUUUCGAGGCUGACGUGGAGAACCUCUGUUUGAAAGUUUCUGCCUGUUAGUUAGGGAUACAAGUGCUUCUGCUCCUUCUCUCGGCCUUGCAGCCCUGGGCUUUUGUUUCUGCCCGCUCCCCGCCUACCUUGGAAGCCCAUUUUCAUUUUCGGACCAUCUUAGGUGCUGCCCAAAGUCACAACAUCUGGAGCGCAGCCUGGAGCUGAGACGCGGGGGCUCUGCCGUGAGCCUGCUCGGCCCGGCCCCGAGGCUGGGCGCUCUCAUCCGGACCUGCUUUGGUGCAGGAGAGCAGGAUGGCAGCGGCCGGGAGGUUUCGCAUCCAGACUGAGCCAGGGUGAAGGCCUCCGAGCGCGGCAGUUUCUCCUUCCAGGGGGACCUUCAGCCCCUCCGUCCGCUUUCGGCAGGUGGUGUGUGCAUGGGGAGCACACGUCCCGAGGGCUUGGCUCCGGCUCUGCCAUUGACCGUCCCGUGACCCUGGGCUCUAACUUCUUGCUGAGCCUCCGUUUUCUUUCGGGCAAAAUGCAGGUGCUAAUCAUCCCCACUUCAUGGAUUGCUGGGAUCACAUCUCUGUUGUGGAAAACUUUAGGGUAAACUAAAGUGCGCUAGAGGCAGAACAUCGGGUCUGGGCCGUGUGUCUGCCGAUUGGCUAGUUUAACCUUGAGAAAAACCUCUGCCACUGCCUGCCCGUCUGUUUCCGGUCUCCAAGCCCAGAUCUUUCUCUUCGCAGGCCCCAGACACGCCCCUGGUACAUGGAGAUAUCUCAUACUGGCAAUAAUAUAACAUUUCUUUUAUUUGAUGAUGUUAUUGAAUAAUUUUUUAUUUUUAAUCUAAGCAAACACUUAAGUUUAAAAAAACUAGUAACUAUGAAUCUUAACAUAGAAAUGUUAGCCCCUGCCUGUCUUCCGCCCAGUGCUGGUCCACCACUUCCACUGCUUUUAACUGGUUUAUCUGGAAAUAGCUCUACAUGUCUAAACAGCAUCCUUACUCUACAAGUCUUGAUGAUUUUUAAGUUUUAAUUGUUACCUGUUGACUUCCUAGCAUGGGAAGAAAGGAUUUAACCCUCCCCUCCCGUCAGUCACGGACACAGACACACCCCUCCGCACCCCCCACCCUCCUCUUCCAUCCGUUCUGUAUGCGGAUCGUACGUUUUGGUGGGAUAUUCGGAUGUCACACUGGGUUCACAGUUAAGUCAGAUAACAUGUGUGAUGACACGCAGCUGCACGUCUUUGCGUACACAAAUUGUUUCCCUGAAGGUAAUAAUUGCAUUGCUUUCCUGUUUGCUGAGUGUUCUCCUGGUAUCACUCGUUCGGCCCAGAAUCUUUAUAAAAGUGUCGCAUGUCCUUUCACUGCACCCACACACGUGUGCCAUCUCUCAGCCCCUGGAGCCCAUGUCUCUGGGGGUCCCGCCUCCUUGGUUCCACGCUGGCUGGCCCCUCUCGAGACCCACUGCGUCACCGCAUCCCCGGGCUCCCGGGCCUGGGCUCCGUUCCCGUCCUCCUGGGGAACGCAGCCCCCCCCCCUCGCUCUGCUGUGGCUUCUCUGCCUCCUGGACCCCGUGGCUUCUUCCUGCUUGUUUUCCUCCUUCGCUUUGUAGAAGCACGUUGUCCAGUAAUGUCUCCAAAAGAGGAAGGAUGGCUUUUGUUUCUGGAGGGUGCACACCUGAAACGGUCUUUAUUCCACGCUUCCAUGUGGUUGAUUAUUUGAUUGGACACAGAAUUACCAAUACAGCUCAGAAACAUUUUUUCUCCCGAUUUUAAACCAUUAUGCCAUUGCUGUUAUUGUCAGGUGUGCUUCGGAUUUUCAGUACUUUCUAGGCGAACUGUUUUUUGUUUUAUUUUUUUUUAUCACUGUUAACUUUAAACGUGUUCUCUCUAACUCUAGUGUCUUGAAACUUCACAGACAGAUAUUUUGAUGUAGGUCUUUUUCCUUUACUGUUCUACAUUGCCAGGGGACCCUUUCAAACUGGAAACUUAUCUUUCUCUUUUUACAUAGUUAAAAUAAUUCUGUUCAAAUAAUAUUUUCUAAUAUACUCUGAAAUCAUGAGUGUAUUUUUUUUUUUUGUCUUUUUAGGGCCACACCCACGGCAUAUGGAGGUUCCCAGGCUAGAUCUAAUCAGAGCUGCAGCUGCCUGCUGAUGCCACAGCCACAGCAAGGACAGAUCCAACCCGUGUCUGCGACCUGCACCACAGCUCAUGGCAACAUGGGAUCCUUAACCCACUGAGCAAGGCCAGGGAUUGGGCCCGAAACAUCAUGGUUCCUAGUCGGAUUCGUUUCCGCUGUGCCAGGACGGGAACUCCUGAAAUCAUGAGUCUAGAAGUCAAUUUCAGAUUUGUAUUAUUUCUUUUUUAAUUUAAAUAUAGUUGAUUUACAGUGUUAUGUUAGUUUCAGAUGUAUAAUAUAGUCAUUCAAUUUUUAUAGCUUAUACACCAUUUAAAGUUAUUAUAAAAUAGUGGCUACAUUCCCUGUACAGUACCUUACACGCAUGUGUAUUCUUAGUCGUAUUUUAAAUUUCUUAUUAAAAUUACUCCUUAACAUUUUAGAAGCUGGAGUUAGAAUAGGAAAUGUAUUACUCAGUACACAGUGAGACACUGAAUUUUCUGUGGCAAACUUCUCUAACCUGUUAUAAAACAAGGUCCUUGAUAGGGUGAAGGAUAAAGAAACUAGAAUCCCCGGCGUAGGUCACGUGAUGAAGAAGGGUCAUCCUGUUUUCUCACACAGACAAGUAGAUGGGAAAUCUCUUUACAAAUAAACAGAGCAGAGAAUGAGCAGAUUAAAUGUUUCUCAGGUGAGACAGAGCGUCCAGUAACAGAGUGUCACGGGGUGGCUUUCUCAGUUCCUUGGUACAAUAUACCCUUUUAGUGAUGAAUAGGCAUCGUGCAUUCCAACAUAGCCAAAUGACUAGCGUUGCAUUGGAAUUGGAAUAAAUGUAAUUUUAAGAAUUCAAGACACCAGAGUUAUAGAGAAUAGGUUUAAAGUCUACAGUGAUUAAGAAAACAAAAUAAACAUAAAACAGUUCACAUAAGAAUUAUUGAAAAUCAGAGUAACAAAUGUAAUUUGGAUAUUACUAUACAAAUUAUUUAUUAGUGUCAGGUUUAUGAUUUCUGUCUAGACCUAUAAAAGAACAGUUCUCAUGCAAUGGGAAAGACAAGUUAAAGAUGCGUAUAUUAGCAUCCACUUCAGCUAAUUAUGCUCAUGAAGUCAGUUGUUCCAUGAAAGGCAACCUCGUUUAUUGGACAUUUUUAGGAAAUGAUCAAUUCCUCAGAGACGUUGAUGUACACAACUUUAUUUUCAUUCUACCUGUUUUUGAUUAAAAUAUUCCUCAAAGAAUAUAUUUAUUUGGCUAACUUAGAACAGGCCCAGGCGUUUAGAGGAUUCUGCUGAGUGUUUGUUUAUUCCGUCAUUUACUUAGUCAACAAGUAUUGUGUUAUUACUCUUUCCCAGUAAGUCAGGGCCGUCAUUCCUCAUUCCUCAUUGUGUUAAACCUCAGGCGGUUUUGCCCUCGGGCACCUUGAAGCUGUGCCGUGCACUUGGCCUCAAAUACAAGGCUUUGAGAAAAUUAUGCUUUUUGAGCAAAAGCUCCUGUGACUCAGUGAGGAAAAGCAAAACAACUCAAUGGGAAAAAUACAUGAAUAGGCAUUUCACAGAAAAGGAAUAACAAAUGCUCAUAAACAUAUGGAAAGAUUCUCCGUUUCUUGAUGAUCAGAGACACAAGUGAAAACCACACUGAGUUUCCACUGUACACGCUGCUGUGGCCAAGCGUUAUGAGGAAGUGGAGCCGUGGGACUCUUCUCCACCGAUAGCAGAGGCAUCAGCUGUGUCCUUCCGUGGAAGACAAUUCGGGUAUGAGCCAAUAAGCUGAGUAACGCACAUCCCUGCUACCCGGUGAGCCCAUCCCUCGGCGUGAACUCCAAGAAAGACCUUACAGCGGCAGAGGAGGUGGCUGUAAGAAUGUUCUGACAGUACAGCCUGUCAAGAAAAACUGCAGCCACCUAAAUACGUGCUGCAGUGAAGAGAGAUGGACUGGGUACACUCCUACCUGGAAUGCCAUCCAGCAGUGAGGAGGAGUGCGUUAUCACUGCUUGCAUCGAUGUGACUGGACGUCAUAAACAAUAUUGAGGAAAAAAGGGACGUCUCAGAAGGGGACCUGCAAGUUCCACUCAGUCUAUAUAAGGGUAGAAAUCUGGCUUAACUGCAUGUAUUUUGUAGGGACAUAGAAAACUUGAUCCAACUGUAAAGGAAAACACCACACAAAAAUGGAGAUCAACACGUUACUCAGAGAGUGUUUACGGAGGAGGGCAGGUAAGGGCUGUGAUGACAGGAGGAGGCGGAGAGGGACCCAAGGCAUGGGGUCAUGUUCUGCCCCUUCAGCAUCGUCUCAUCCAACCAGCGCUUCCUAAAGGCCUGCGAAGCGCCAAGCACUGCCGUAGCACGUAGGGUACAAACUCUUCAAGAGAACAUAUUCCGCAGGAAGCGAAAAAAUGGAUGGAGUAAAUCAUUAACUUAUUUUAGUUUCAAAAGGUGAUAAGUUCUAUGGAAAAAAUGGGAGUUAAGACAGCUUGGUGUGUGUGGAUGGUUUGCAGAAUUAAAUGAGAUGAUGAGGGUACCUUCUUUGAGAAGGAGCUAUUUGAAUCUAGAUUUGAAAGAGAUACGGAGUAAGCCACACGGCUACCUGGGUGAGUGAAAUUUAGGCAGAGGGACCAGCCAGUGCAAUGGUCUCAUUAUGGUGAUGUGUUUGCCAUGUUUGGGGAGACAUGGGGAGGGCACCGCAGCUGACAAUGAGCAGCAUGGUCAGAGAGGUGGAUGCACCAGCAGGGCUGGACAGGGCAUGACAUGCUAGGUCGGGUAUUGGCAGCGUCCCUCUGCAAAGAGGCAGAUGAUAAAUAUUUUAGGCUUUACGGGCCACAGGGUCUCAGAAGCAAAUGCUCUGCCGUUGGAACAUGAAAGCAGCCAUAGACAAUAUGCAGUUAAUGGACAUGGAUCUAUUAUAGUAACGCUACACAAAAAAGAAGUGAGUGGAGAGUGACAGAAUUAGGAUGGCAGAAUAGAAGGACUGGAGCUCAACUUCUUUUCUAAAAACAACAAAAUUCACAACUAAAGACUGAGCACACUUCACCAAAAUGGACCGGAAACCUUAAAAAAGAUAUCCUACUCCAGAAGAAAAAAAGGAGGCCACAUCAAGAGGUAGGAGGGACGAUUUCAUGAUAUAAACAACCCCAUACCUCCUGGGUGGGAAGCUCCACAGACUGGAAACUAACUGGUUCACAGAGACUCACCUACAGGAGUGAGAGUUCUGAGCCCCACAGUAAACCCCCACGUGUGGGGAUCCGGCCCUGGGAGAAAGAGCCCCUGGAGCAUCUGGCAUUGAAGGCCAGUGGGGCUUGUGUGCAGGAGCUCCACAGGACGGGGGGGGGAAACGGAGACCCCAUUCUUAAAAGGUGCAUACAGACUUUCACGUGCACUGAGUCCCAGGGCAAAGAAAAGUCUCCAAGGGAAUCUGGGUCAAACCUGACCGCAGUUCUUGGAGGACAUCCUGGGAAAACAGGGAUGAAUGUGGCUUGUUGUGAGGGAAGGACAUUGAAAGCAAAGAUCUGGGGAAUAUUCAGCAGCAGUACCUUUCUCUGGAGGUGGCCAUUUGGGGAAAAUCUGGCCCCACCCAUCAGCCAGCUCCUGAGAAGCCCCAGGGCAAACAACAACCCAGGUGGGAUCACAGCCCCAUCCCUCAGUAAACAGGCUGCCUACAGACCCCUCAGGCACACAGCCACCUCCAAUCCCAUCCAGAGACUAAGCCCCACCCACCAGAGAGAUUAGAAUCAGCUCCACCUACCAGUGGGCAGGCAUCAGCCUCUCCCAUCAGGAAGCCUUCAGCAAGCCCCCAUACUGAAUCCAGCCACAUGGGGGGCAG